rnacentral:rRNA from 1 species
CAGUCGCCGCGGUAAUACGAAGGGGGCUAGCGUUGUUCGGAUUUACUGGGCGUAAAGGGCGCGUAGGCGGACUGAUAAGUCAGGGGUGAAAUCCCAAGGCUCAACCUUGGAACUGCCUUUGAUACUGUUUGUCUUGAGUUCGAGAGAGGUAAGUGGAACUGCGAGUGUAGAGGUGAAAUUCGUAGAUAUUCGCAAGAACACCAGUGGCGAAGGCGGCUUACUGGCUCGAAACUGACGCUGAGGCGCGAAAGCGUGGGGAGCAAACAGGAUUAGAUACCCGCGUAGUCCCUGUCUCUUAUAC